GGCUAUGGGAAAGAAACCUGGAAAGGUAGGGAGGUAUGGAUAUGGACAAGCUAUGCCAAGGAGCAGGGCUUUGUCAUGGAGAGUGACUAGGUGCUUUUACAUAGGAAAGUCACCUGAUAAUAUUAAAACCUGUGAAAUAUCACUCUGGUGGAAGUGUGAAUGAAUUUGAAAGGGGUGUAACACUGUUCUACUUUGUUUACUCCUCAGUACCCUUGGCUGUGUACAUUUGAGUAAAGAGAGCACUAUAAAAUCAAAAACCAAUGAAAUGGUUUCCAGAACACAGAACUAUUAAGCUUAAGAAAAGGACAGAAGGAACUGAAGAGAGAGGAACUGUUUUGGAGCAUCACACUUCCACCUCAGAAGAAAUAAGGAAGGAAGGAGGAGGGUGUUCCCACGGCUCUUCAACCAGGCCGGCUCUUCAGCCUACAUCCCCAUCUCAUCAAGUAAAAGGGAUUUUUCAACUGGACCAACCAGAUGGUUUAACAGUGCACUCCCACACCAUUCAACUACGCAAGGGAGAUACACUUAACAUAUGCAGUCGUAUAACACCUACUAACAUUUUCAAACAUUAAACCUUUAAAAAAGAGUUCUAAAGAAAUAGAAGCUUGAAGUAUCAUCUCUCAAGUAUAUAGACACUACUUCAUGGUGUGGUAAUAUAUGCAUAUAGAAGCUAGUAAACACCUCCAGGAGAUGCAAAAGGAAUUAGAACUGCCACAAGGUGCAAGCAAAACCUUGAGGUAAUCAAUCUGCAUCCCAUUUUGGAUGAGAAUAUUUGCAACUUUGAAGGUUAUUUUAAGGACAGCAGCAGAAGAAUUAUGGCAGGUAUCUGAAAUUCAUUUCUGUGCUUUGCCGAGGACCCAUGGGAUGCCAUUUGCAGAUGAGAAAACUAAAGAAUAGCUUUAUCUUCCAGCUCUUCACGGAAAAAAAAAUGGCAACAAUAAAAUCAGCAACUCCUGCCAAAUAAAUGGGCAUAAAAAAGAAAUCAUAGACUGCUGGCAAUGGUGGGGAAAAAGUUAUAAAAAUUGUCUCUGCACCAUCUUCCUUUUGUCCUCUAAAAUAUUCACAUUAGCAAAAGUAUAUAACAGCUGAUGAAGAAAUACUGAUAAUUUGUCUUUGUAAGUAUAUCGAAAACAUUUCAAGAUCUAGAAAUUUGAAAUUGUUGACAAGUAUUUAUCUGUUUAUUCACAAAUUUGAAAUCAACCUCAGGAAUGCUCAUUCUGAUUGAUAUACUUAGGUCAUAAAUUUUUAAGACCACAGAUUUCCAGGGACUUUUUGGAAAAUCACCCAGUAAAACAAUGUCUUUUUGCAGGGGACUAGCUUCAGUAUUUUGGCUUCUUUUUGCUUCUUUGCAACAAAUUGGGAGACAAAGGUGGGAAAGUUUUUUUCAAUAAGUUAAUAAUUUUUUAAAGGUCAAAAUUUUGUUCUUUGCUUAUAUUAGAAUUAAACACUGUGAGAUUCUCUCUGAGACCUUGUAUACUUUCUCUUUUAAAGAUAAUUUCACUGCAUGUAAUUUUUCGGGGAAUGACUCUCAGAGUUGUUGUCUGAAAGUACCUUGAUGUUUGGAUAUUGGUUUGUUUGGAUGAACAACAAAAGGAAUCAGUAAGAGAAGUUAUUAUAAGAAAUAUAAAGCUAUUAUUAACAUUUCAAUGAAA
rnacentral:lncRNA from 1 species